GUGCUCACUUCGGCAGCACAUAUACUAAAAUUAGAACGAUACAGAGAAGAUUAGCAUGGCCCCUGUGCAAGGAUGACAUGAAAUUUAUGGAGCGUUUCAUAAAAAAU
rnacentral:snRNA from 1 species